AUGAAGGAGUUGGCCCUCAAGGAAGAUGACCUCGAUGAUGUAAUCUUUGAGGAUGAUGAUGCACCAGCAGAGGAGGCGCUCCGCUGGAUGAUUCUAGCCCGAGUUUAUAUGGACAAGGAUUUCAGCUCUUACUGGUUCUUCCGUAACAUGAGAACAGCAUGGGAUCUAGCCAGGCCAGUCAAGAUUAAAACCUUGGAGGAGAACCUUUUCCAGAUGCAAUUUGAUUGCUUGGGGGAUUGGGAGCGUGUGACCCAGGGCGGUACAUGGCACUUCAGGGGAAACCCAGUACUCAUCGCCCCGUAUGAUGGAUAUACAAAACCCUCCUCUAUUAAGCUUUUCACCUUCGAGAUCUGGGCGAGAAUCAUCGAGCUUUCGAUCGCUUUUCAUGGAAAGGUUAAGGCUCUUACAUCAAAGAUUGGUGAGUUUGUUGACUCCGAGCCUUCAUCCUUUGAUUUUGAAGGAAACUUUUAUAGAGUCAAAGUUAGAUUGGACGUCCGUCAUCCUCUGAAGAAAGCUAUAUCCUUGAUCCGGGGAGGAGAGAGGGAGAUUUUUGCGGUGAAGUAUGAGCGCUUGCCCGAUUGGUGUCAGGUGUGUGGCAUGAUGGGUCAUGAGUUCAAGGAGCAUGGCGACGGGGUGCACCCCCCCCCCUCUGCUCUGGUGUUCAAAAACCUUCGGGCUCCAGCGACCACUGCGUGGGGAACCCGACGCUGA
rnacentral:rRNA from 1 species